rnacentral:rRNA from 1 species
AGAGUUUGAUCCUGGCUCAGGACGAACGCUGGCGGCGUGCCUAAUACAUGCAAGUAGAACGCUGAAAUAAGAGCUUGCUCUUAUGGAUGAGUUGCGAACGGGUGAGUAACACGUGGGGAACCUACCUUCUAGCGGGGGAUAACACAUAGAAAUGUGUGCUAAUACCGCAUAAUAGUAUUUGAUGCAUAUCAGAUACUUGAAAGGCGCAAUUGCGUCACUAGAAGAUGGCCCCGCGGUGCAUUAGCUAGUUGGUGAGGUAACGGCUCACCAAGGCAAUGAUGCAUAGCCGACCUGAGAGGGUGAUCGGCCACACUGGGACUGAGACACGGCCCAGACUCCCACGGGAGGCAGCAGUAGGGAAUCUUCGGCAAUGGACGCAAGUCUGACCGAGCAACGCCGCGUGAGUGAAGAAGGUUUUCGGAUCGUAAAACUCUGUUGUAAGAGAAGAACGUUGAUGAGAGUGGAAAGUUCAUCAAGUGACGGUAUCUUACCAGAAAGCCACGGCUAACUACGUGCCAGCAGCCGCGGUAAUACGUAGGUGGCAAGCGUUGUCCGGAUUUAUUGGGCGUAAAGCGAGCGCAGGCGGUUGAUCAAGUCUGAUGUGAAAGCCCCCGGCUCAACCGGGGAGGGUCAUUGGAAACUGGUCAACUUGAGUGCAGAAGAGGAGAGUGGAAUUCCAUGUGUAGCGGUGAAAUGCGUAGAUAUAUGGAGGAACACCAGUGGCGAAGGCGGCUCUCUGGUCUGUAACUGACGCUGAGGCUCGAAAGCGUGGGGAGCGAACAGGAUUAGAUACCCUGGUAGUCCACGCCGUAAACGAUGAGUGCUAAGUGUUGAGGGUUUCCGCCCUUCAGUGCUGCAGCUAACGCAUAGCACUCGCCUGGAGUACGACGCAAGUGAACUCAAGGAAUGACG